CAAUAGCGUAUAUUAAAGUUGUUGCGGUUAAAAAGCUCGUAGUUGGAUUUCUGCCGAGGAUGACCGGUCCGCCCUGUGGGUGUGCAUCUGGCUCAGCCUUGGCAUCUUCCUGAAGAACGUAGCUGCACUUGACUGUGUGGUGCGGUAUUUAGGACAUUUACUUUGAGGAAAUUAGAGUGCUUAAAGCAAGCUAUGCACUUUACGAUGCCUGUAUGGUCGUGCAUGGAAUGAUGGAAUACGAUCUCGGCCCCGUUACGCGCGGGGUAUGAGAUAAUGAUUAAAGGAAACAGACGGGGGCGUUCGUAUUGCGACGCGAGCGGUGAAAUGCGUUGACCGUCGCAGGACGACCUACUGCGAAAGCAUUCGCCAAGAAUGUUUUCAUUAAUCAAGAACGAAAGUUAGAGGAU
rnacentral:rRNA from 1 species